rnacentral:rRNA from 1 species
UACGUAGGGGGCUAGCGUUGUCCGGAUUUAUUGGGCGUAAAGAGCGUGUAGGCGGCCAGAUAGGUCUGCUGUGAAAACUCGAGGCUCAACCUCGAGCUGUCGGCGGAAACCAUUUGGCUAGAGUCCGGAAGAGGAGAGUGGAAUUCCUGGUGUAGCGGUGAAAUGCGCAGAUAUCAGGAAGAACACCUGUGGCGAAGGCAGCUCUCUGGGACGGAACUGACGCUGAGGCGCGAAAGCGUGGGGAGCGAACAGG